GAACCCACUCAAUUCCUCGUUUAGAAAAAUGGAAACAGCUAAUGGCCCUCCUCGGAGACACAAACCACUUUAGAAGCCAGAAAAGAAAAGAAACAGCUAAUUGUCCUUCCUUCUUAGGAAUUUGAGCAUUCUGUUUUCAGGUUUCAACUUUGAAGAACCCCAACUGUCGUCAAAAUUAUGUCAAGUGAAUCAUUGCCUGCUGCACCAUCUAUCUCUAUCUUGGGUUCUACUCCAAUCUUCCAUGUCACAGCUGCGGACACCCUUGCCAGCUUUUCUGUUUUUCUUCAGCUUUUCUUGCCAAUUUGGCAAGUUCUUCACCUUAAUCCGACAUGUCACUCCUUUUUUUAAACUUGAGAAGGAAGAGCUUUAUGAAUAGGUAGGCGCAAAUGCAAAGUUGAGGGAAAAGUACUCUGGCUGACGAAAUCAGAUUCCUUCGAGUUGAAAAAGAAUGCCAAUUUUCUGUCAAGCCGUUUAUCAGCACUAGCAUCUUGUAUCGUUGUAUCAUACGUGCACUUGGUUGGAUGUGAAUGAUGGAGCUCAGGAUAUUGCAGGGACCUUUCAGAGGUGGAAGAUAACCAGAUAAACCAAAUAUUCCCAGCAUAUGUUUCUGAUUUUUUUUUUUUUUUGUUUUUUUUGGGGUUCAGUUUCUCGGCAAUAGAACAGCAUGUUCAUCUACAAAUUAUGUGGCGGAUAUAAAUAGGACUUCGGACUUAGAGAAAGAGGCCGAAUAUCUUUAUAGAUAAGUGUUGGGAAUUAUCUUUGACUCUAGAGAAGUGGCUGAUGGACAACUUAUAGUUUUCUUGUCAACUCUGUUAGAAAAUUUUUAUUUUUCCCAGGUAAGCGUUUCUUGUUGGGCGCAGAAAGAUGAGAUGACUUUUUACUUUAACAUUUAAUUUAAGUGGUGUU